rnacentral:rRNA from 1 species
UACGUAGGGUCCUGACGUUGUCCGGAAUUACUGGGCGUAAAGAGCUCGUAGGUGGUUUGUCGCGUUGUUCGUGAAAACUCACAGCUCAACUGUGGGCGUGCGGGCGAUACGGGCAGGCUUGAGUUCGGUAGGGGAGACUGGAAUUCCUGGUGUAGCGGUGAAAUGCGCAGAUAUCAGGAGGAACACCGGUGGCGAAGGCGGGCCUCUGGGCCGAUACUGACGCUGAGGAGCGAAAGCGUGGGAGCGAACAGG